UAAAGAGGUACGUGAGCUGGGUUUAAAACGUCGUGAGACAGUUUGGUCCCUAUCUUCCGUGGGCGCUGCAGAUUUGAGGAAGCCUGCUCCUAGUACGAGAGGACCGGAGUGGACACACCUCUGGUGUACCGGUUGUCACGCCAGUGGCAUCGCCGGGUAGCUAAGUGUGGAAGAGAUAACCGCUGAAAGCAUCUAAGCGGGAAACUCGUUUCAAGAUGAGAUCUGCCGGGGGCUCGACCCCCCUGAAGAGUCGUUCUAGACCAGGACGUUGAUAGGCUGGGUGUGGAAGCGCAGCAAUGCGUUAAGCUAACCAGUACUAAUUGCUCGUGCGGCUUGACCCUAUAACUUUG
rnacentral:rRNA from 1 species